rnacentral:rRNA from 1 species
GACGAACCGUGCGAACGUUAUUCGGAAUCACUGGGCUUAAAGCGCGUGUAGGCGGGACGGCACGUCGGUCGCUGAAAGCCCCCGGCUCAACCGGGGAACGGGCGCCGAUACGACCGUCCUGGGGGGACGUAGGGGGACCUGGAACUUCCGGUGGAGCGGUGAAAUGCGUUGAGAUCGGAAGGAACGCCCGUGGCGAAAGCGAGGUCCUGGACGUUUUCUGACGCUGAGACGCGAAAGCCAGGGGAGCGAACGGG